rnacentral:lncRNA from 1 species
AGUGACUGGCCUAGCUUCCCAGGCUACAUCUUUCUACUGCGCUGUGCUGGAUGCUUCCUGUCCUUGAACAUCAGACUCUAAGUUCUUCAGUUCUGGGACUUGGACUGGCUCUCCUCACUCCUCAGCUUGCAGACAGUCUAUUGUGGGACCUUGUGAUCUUUAUACAGCACCCUCCUUCACUCAAUCAGCCAUGGAAGAAAAGGUGUAAUUUCUUAUUUAUUUCAUUUACCCACUUCUAAUUCAUCAAUAAAUGAUUUUGAAUCAGUAUACAAAAUAGACACCCAGCCUGAUUGUUCUUGCCAAUCCUACCUCCGAAUCCUAAUUCAAGCUAUCCUUCUCGUGUGCCCAGAUAAUCAUCUAACUGACCUACCUUUUUCCACUCUUGUCUUAGAGUCUAUUCUCCACAAAAUUGCCAGGGUAAUCUUUUAAAAGUGAAGCUCAGUUUGUAUCAGUUGUCCUCUAAAAGCUGUUAAAAUUCUUCUGUCAUUAUACUUAGCACAAAAUCUUAAUCAUAGCUUCAUUUUUUUUUUGAUAUUUCACUAAUUUCACCUUCAGCUACUUUCUCCGUUGCUGAUUUCAUUCUGGUGACAAUUCCCUUCCUUUCUACAUAAGAAAUCAAAUCUUGUUUCUGCCAUGAAGGCUUUGGACUUAGAAAUGCAAUGAGUAUUUAACCAGGGCUUUACUUGGUAGAAUUUAGCCAAGCAGUUUGAAAUCUUGAUCAUCAGCCUCUCAUCUUCUCCACACUCCAUUGCCAAAGUCUUUGUCAAAAUGCCAAAGUGUUGAUAAAAGAUUGUGCUUGUAAUUCUUGUUAUGGUACAAUUUCUCCUUAAUCCUGAAUUUCUUAGAAUAAGUACAUGAAUAAAUGAGAGAAUGAGUGAACAAAGUGCAGUACCUAAUAUGUGUCAAGCAUUGUGCUUGGCACUUUAAAAAAUUUGAAACAUUUCAAGCAUUUGAACGUUUUAUGUGAUUCCAGUGGCAUUUUCUGUGAAAGUUGUCAUGCCAUUUAAAAUGUUUUCAAAUAUGAAUCAUGUUACAAAAUUCAUAAUUUUAUAUGUCA